rnacentral:rRNA from 1 species
GCGUUGUUCGGAUUUACUGGGCGUAAAGGGAGCGUAGGUGGUUAGGUAAGCCCUCCGGGAAAUCUUCAGGCUUAACCUGAAAAGGUCGGGGGGGACUGCCUAGCUAGAGGGCGGGAGAGGAGCGCGGAAUUCCCGGUGUAGCGGUGAAAUGCGUAGAGAUCGGGAGGAAGGCCGGUGGCGAAGGCGGCGCUCUGGAACGUUUCUGACACUGAGGCUCGAAAGCGUG